rnacentral:rRNA from 1 species
UCGGGUUUAGUGGCGCACGGGUGCGUAACGCGUGGGAAUCUGCCCCUUGGUUCGGAAUAACAGUUGGAAACGACUGCUAAUACCGGAUGAUGACGUAAGUCCAAAGAUUUAUCGCCGAGGGAUGAGCCCGCGUAGGAUUAGGUAGUUGGUGUGGUAAAGGCGCACCAAGCCGACGAUCCUUAGCUGGUCUGAGAGGAUGAUCAGCCACACUGGGACUGAGACACGGCCCAGACUCCUACGGGAGGCAGCAGUGGGGAAUAUUGGACAAUGGGCGAAAGCCUGAUCCAGCAAUGCCGCGUGAGUGAUGAAGGCCUUAGGGUUGUAAAGCUCUUUUACCCGGGAUGAUAAUGACAGUACCGGGAGAAUAAGCUCCGGCUAACUCCGUGCCAGCAGCCGCGGUAAUACGGAGGGAGCUAGCGUUAUUCGG